CUUAAAUUGUUAUAAAUGUAAAUCCACCUAAAAGGUAAGAGGAAAAAGAUACACAGCAGCAAGAAUAUUCAAGAGAAACUCAUGGAAAAUAUAACUGGAAAAAUGGAUAUUGCUGGUUGGUACAGAAGCAACUUUUAGUGGUGGCCCACAGCAGACUUCAUCAGAGGGCAGUUUAUAAUUCCUUAAAUGUCAUGAAGGACUUGAAGCAGGUUCUGGAAGACUACUGCCGAGAUUUGAAGACAGUAGACUACUGGCUUCCCGGAUGCUCCUCUGCAUUCCUGCAUUGCAGUUGGCCUGCACAGGAUAGUUAAGGGUUGUGAGAUGUGGGAGACGUGAGAGAGGAGAAGGCGGAUGCAAUCAUCUUUGGCCUUUCACAGAGCUACUGUCGUUUCUACAGGGCACUGCUGGGAUUGUAAAAACAACAAUUAGAAAUGCUGAUCCGAACACCAGCCCUGUGCAGUUUGAGAGAAAAAUACAGAUCCUUUAAAUGUAGUUCAUGGAUGCUGAUGAAAACCAGUAGGCUGUUCAGAAGGAGCCAUGAAAGAAAUAGGAGUGGGCAGUUGUAUUCUGUACAGUGAUUUUUUUGUUCAUCAGAAGGUGAUCUGGAAAUCUGGAUGUGCACCUUAGUUAAAGGUGGCUAAAAUCCCAGUUUCUGCCAAGUAGAGGUUGAAGUUGGGUUCCUGUUGCCUGUGUGGAACAUCCCUGAAUCAAUCUGCAGCUGUUGCUAUCCCUAUGGAAAAGACAUACUCAAACAUUAUUCACACAUGGCUUUUUUGGGAAUUUAUGUGGUUGCUGUUUCGUCAUGUGUCAAGUGAGCUUCGCCUCUCCUGGCGAUGAUGACCUCUUUUGCAACAACCAGAAAGAGACACUGGAACAAGUCUUCUUUUGAGGGGUGUUUGCAGUGAAUGGCUUCCUGUCCUUCAGCAGUGUGCAUUGCAUUGGGUGCAGGUAUCAGGGUUUUUGAUAGGGGUGGCCUUUGUGAGGAGAGGCCCUGUGCUGGUUGCAUCCAGCUUCAAGGCUCCACUGCACCCGUGAGCCCAGCAGCCAAGAUGAUGGCACCUCUGGGUAAGCAUUUAAGGCUGAAAGCACAGUGGAGGCAGAGUGGAAAAAAAUGCAACAGAAGGAGUACCAAGGCCAGUGGGGAAGGGGGAAGAGGUGCUCCAGGCAGCCGGUGAACCUGUCCAUAGGGUCAUUGUGGAGCAGCUGGGUACGUCCUGACAGCAGCUGUGGCUUGUGGAGAGCCCUCAUAAGGGAAAGUGUAAGGAAGAGGGAGAGGCAAAACUACUGUGCUGCUGGGGAGAAGAAUCAGAGGAACUGGGAGUGAAAGAGUGAAGUUGGGCCUGAAAAGUGAGGGUGUGAAGGAAAGUGUUAUAAUUUUGUCUUUGCUUCUCACUAUCUUAACCUAUUUUAUUUGCCAAUAAAUUGAAUUAAAUUAAAUUGAGUAAAGGGAAAGCUCACUCCAACAACAACAACAACAACAAAAAAACCGAUGUAUUUAAAUAAAUACUCUUCUUUGAGUCUGAUAUCUUCACUAAGAUUUCUAGACAUUAACAAUUCUGCUGAUUUUGAUGGUGAACUGAAAAAAAUAUUUGCUGUUAGACAUAACUGAUAUUCACCGUCCUUCCAGAGUUCAUUUAUGCUGCGUCCGCUUUGAGUGACCUCAUACUCAAUGAUGUUCUGUGCUAGAAGAAACUUCCUCAGGUCUUAUAAAUGGCAUCUGCAUUUACGCAAAAAGAAACACUGCUUCAGAAUUUCAUACACAGAUAAUGUACUCAAAAAUCUUCACCAUAGACAAACAGGACCCAAACUCCUGAGGUGUUGAACAUUUCUGAUGAGGAAUCGGGUACUGUGACUGCAAAGUGUACUCCAAACCAGCUGAGACAAUAUUCGUUUUAAAUCAAAUAUUGAAGUGAACAUUCAAAAGAGCUUUGAAGUUCCCUCGGACAAAAAAAAAAAAAAAAAAGAAUCAACCUAUGUGAAAAUGCAGUCAGUUCUGGUUUUUUUCUGUUUUGAAAAGUAAGUUUGAAGCCUAUUAAACCUAUCUGAAUGUCUGUUGACCUGCCCUGAUCCUCACCAUUUCAAGGUAAAGUAACUUGUAUUAAAAAUCUUUCACUGAUAGUAUUCAACAAGCUAUACCUGAAAUCACCACUGAAGGGUUUAUUAGAUUGGAUGGAGCACACUGUGAAUGCAUUUCUACUCACCAUUAUGUCUGAAUUCUCCAUCUGGUCCUUAACUUGCCUUCCUUCUCCAACUCUAAGCCACCUAAUCCUGCGUUUUACCCAUAUCUCCAGACCCAGAGGAACUGCUUACUACCGUUCCUGUACAUGGUCUGUCUGAGCUCAUCCCAAUUACAUAGGAGGAGUAGUCUGGUAGUGCUGCUGCCAGAAGGGAUGUGAUGCCAUUUACCUUGGCAGAGUUGGUCCCUUAUCACCUGUGUCCUGCUCCAGUCUUGUAUGUGUUGAAUGUUUAAGCCAGCUGCAGAGGCAGGAACAGCCUGGUGUUUGCAGGCUGAAAGACCAAACCUCAAGCAGAGGCUUUGUGGCAGUAGGUCAGAUCUGGAAGCAGGAAGGGGCACUGUGGUUCUGUUCUCUGAGGACUUACUUUCAUAGGUCAGCACUCCUUUGCACUCCGUUUGUCCACACCUUGGUCUCUGUUGCUGCUUUAUUUCAGCUGCUUCUCUUCCAGUUUUGUAACAGUUUUCAGUUUUGCUUUAGCUCCCUCAUUUGCAGUUGCUUCAUCUGAUAGAAUAACUGAAAUAUGACAUUCCCCCCCCCCCCCCCCCCCCCCACAUCUCUGUGUCCUUAGUUAGGCAGUGCACUUUUGCUCUGUGUCUCCAGUUGCUAAUGUUACUACCAGGUCAGAGGUUAAUGUAAUGAUUGGCAUUUAUGUGCUAUUUUUCUCAGUAUUUUGGGGGAUGAGUGUAUGUUACAUAAAUCUCUUUAAAAAUCCUACAUUUUCAGCUUUGCCAAGGCUACAAUAAUCAUUGUACUACUUACCACUUCUUAUUUUUAGUAGUGAAAUGGUCAUAGUUGUGGUAAAUGCUAUAUCCUCAUGCCAAGACAAAUGACAGUGUUCUCAUCUUUUUUUCUCUCUUUUUCUUUUCUUUUCUCUUCUUUUCUCUUCUGUCAAGGAGCCAUAUUUAGCAAAUUGUUUGAACAUUACAACUCAAAUAAGGUUUUACUUUUAUAGGGUUUACCUUGUCUGGUAAGGUGUACUACUUUCUGGGGAUUUCAGCUUCUAGAGAAUGUUUCAGGCUCUAAACAUGACAAAAUAAAAACAUAUUUUCUAUAUCUUGAGAAUACUGAAACUCUCCAACAAUCCUAAAAUAAUUGUUGCACCUCAUAUUUUCAAGUAACUGGCAGGAACAGUAAUCUUCUGCAGCUUAGUACACUCUAUUAAAAAUGAGUAAUAUACAUAUUGAUCAUAAUGCUUCUCUUAGCUGAUGAGGCAUCUCUUGGGGAUGAAACCACAGUACCAUAUGGCUUUAAUGUACUUGAUAUAGUUCUCUAAAUAACUGCUAUAAAUUAUAUUUCAGAAUUAUGCUGGACAGCAAUUGAGUUUGUCUUCCAAACUGUCAAUAAUAUAUUAUGAAUAUAGCUGACAGAAGACAUGAUGGCCUUCUAAAAUGUAGACCUAGAGGGAAUAUUGCAGAGACCUAACCAUCAAGUUCAGAAUGUGUACAAUAUCUGGACCUAAAUAUUAGUUUCUGGCAAGACAGACAGCCUUUACUCCUUCAAGAGUGUGGCUGGAGUUGAUAUCACAACCAUUCUGUGUUCCAUGGUUGGACUGACUGCAAAAUUCCAGAUGUUUUCAAGUCCUAGAUGACAAUGGGUUGCAGUAAAGAUCAGUAAGAGAAAAGUCUUCACCAGGAGUGGGUAGACUUUUUCAAAGGUUCUCCAGCUGCAAAAUUACAGAUUCAAAUCAGAAAAGAUGAUAAUUUAAAAUACUAAUGCAAAGGUGCCAGAGGAUACUGGGAUGAAAAAUUGCAUUGCCGUGAUGCGAGGAGAUCUGUCUGGCUCUAUACACUGUCCCAAGAGGACAAGGAUUGGAUUCCUCUGAAUGUGCAACUGACACUUCCUACAAAGGAACCUUGAAGGUGGCCAAGGUCAUCGCAGCAGACUGCAAACUGAUUGAAGCCUCUGAGGAGAUCCAUUUUUUGAAGAUCUGGACCGUUGGUUCCUGAAGCUUUCUGGUGAUAGCCUCAGACUCUUCAGGUCUGUGGAGGAAAUUACAUCUACUAGAACUGGAGUUACUUCAGAGAAGUAGCUGUACAAGGGAUGACUGCUGGCACUUCAUUUCAAAUUGAUAAAAAAAAAAAAAGGAAAUUCUUAACAGACUUCAAAGGUUGUUGAAGAGAUGACUGUCUUCUGGAAGGCCACCAGGAAAGCAAGCAGAGUGAGUUGUCAAAACAGAAAAAUAAAGUUUCAGGUCCCCAGAACAACAGACAUUUCCACAGCAAGUAUAAAGGAACUGCAGUGCUACCAUCUUACAUCCAUCUCACCAAAGGAAAACUAGAUUGAAUUAUUAUUGAAAGAAAAUACCAAAGUAAUAAUAAACUCUAUUUUAGAAGAAGUUUAUUGACACUUUAUAGUCACAGAAAAAUUUUGGUGACUAAUGGUGACUUUGGCAGAUGCAAUCAUUUUUGAAUGAUUUAGCUCUCUGGGAAACAUCUAACCUAAUUCAUUUCACACAGUACAUUGUUAUGUGUAUAUUAAAUGGUUGGCUCGUCUUUAUCAAGACAAUUAUAAUAAAAACUUUAACUAGUUCCUCACUUAUGAAGUUAUAAUAUUCACAACCUCAUUUCAGUAAGUUAGAAACUGACAAUAUAUUGAGAAUUAGCGUCUAAAAAUCCCAUCUUUAACUGAGAAGUUGACUUACAUAGGGCAUUUUGAAUAUUAUGAGUUUUAAGUAGAAAAAAAAUUGUAUUCAAAAACACCUGAUUUUCAAAGUAUACGUCCUAUCUUUGAUAUAGUGGAUCUUAAGGACAUUUUAAAAUUUCUAUGUGGCAUUAUUAUUUCACAGUCAGAUUCUAAUUGCAACAUUUAUUAAACAGCAAUGUGGAUCAAACAAAAUUAUAGAACAUUUUUUUCAGAAUAAGUAAUCUCAUUGAAAGGAACACAUGUUGCUAAAUUUUAUUUGUUGUAAGAUCAUUUCCAAUAAGAGAAAAUUUCACUUCUUGCUUUCUUGAUUUGGUUCCGUGAUAAAAUAUUUUCAUAAGUUAUGAAAUGAUUUUUCUUUAUUUGGCAUUUAAGUUUAUGCAUCUAUCAAUACUAUGAACUAACUUACUGAAAUGAUUACUAAAUUUUACAAAAUAAAUAUUUCUAUUUUGAUAUAAUUUUUCAUAGUUCGGGUUCUUUCCAGAAUUUGUAAUUUUAACAGCUUCCUAUACUAGUAUCACAACUAGUUUAAACAUGAAAUUUCAAUUUAAUAUGUAUCUUCUGCAUUGUCAUGGAAAUCAAGCUAAGAAAUUCUGAAAUUAUGUAGAUAAUCAAUGGAGUAUUUUUUAUAUUCCAAGUAUGAGUUUUCAUGCAUUAGAGAAAUAUUUCUUCAGUUUGUUUCCCUUAAACUUGUUUGGAUUUCAAAACUUAAAUGACUAAUUCUGAUCUUCAGUUUUAUAGUUUCACUAGCACUUGUUCAAACAAAAUUUAUGAUUAUCUUUCAGUCAUAAAUUUUAAAAUAUAUUUGCUAUCCUGGCCCAGUGAAGCUACUGACAGUAGAGUGAUUAUCAGAAGUUAGCAACGACAUGCCUAAAGUGAUGCAUUAGUACAACUAUUGAGUUAUGUCUUCCAUAGUUACAGAUGUUGUUUUUUUCUGUUCAAGAAGUGUUUCUAAAUUCAACAUUCAGAAAAAAUAAAAGGUGUUUUUUUUUUUUUUUUCCCUACAAUGUUUUUUAUGUGCACAUGAAAUUGUCUUUUCAGGAAACACACUGGACUGCUCAUUUAUCAAAUUUCCCAUCUCUCUUCCAGAAAUCAAAAUGAUUGAAGUCUCUCUUCCAGAAAACAAAAUUAAAUGUACAACGAAAGUUGUGUCAAGGCAUACAAAGAGAAGUCUUGGGAAUGGAGAUUAAGAGGGAACUUCCAGAUGUCACCAGAACACUAGCGAUGCAAGGCUGCUGGUACCUCAUGAUGCCCACAAGUAUGCAGCUGUCUACACCAACCAGCAGUGUGGCUGAGGAGUGGACCAGGUCUGAACUGUGCCAUCAGUGGAUCACCAGAAGGAAUCAUUGAAGAAGUUUUCCUUCUAUGUUGGUUUCUAAGCAAUGAGGAAGGUACAAUGCACUGCAUAACAGUAUACAAUAACUACCCUUAUGGAAGGUGGUUACAAAAGACCGUGAAAGAGAUGAACUUCAGAUCCAGGGUCACAAGGAAACUUCUUACAAUCAAAACUCUGUUUGCUCACCUCUGAUGUUUGCAGAAGUGACAACUAAGUCUGCUAGUUGAAGUUUUUCUACUAUACUGGAGAUGUCUGCAACCUAGUGUUCAGUGCAACUAAAUAGAAGACUGUAAACAAUGCUGGAUGCCCUGGCCCAGGAGAGGCUUUGAAACCUUCUCCUGUUUCUUCAACACUUGAUGGUGAUUGUUUGACUGGAGAUUUACAGCAGACUUGAAUCCCAAAGCUUUUAAACAGCUGAAGUUACAGAAGCUUGAAAUGGUGUUUGGCUUCAUCAGAGUGAUAUUGGUAUCAUCAUCCGACGUCUUUCUACAUUCCAGCAGUCAAAUGUUGCUACCACUGAAAACACCAGAACAGCUUAAAGAAAAAGCAGUUUAUAGGUCUUAUCCUCCAGGCAUGUUUGUGUAUGUCUGAACUCCAACCACAUCAGUAAUGUUACUAGCUUUAAUGGAAUCUCUCCUGUGAUAGUUUAUCGCAUGUAUAAGAAUUUGUAUGAUGAAGGCCUCAGUUAGUUAUCUCCAAGGGGAAGCAGCCAAGGAAGCAAUGAACAGGGAGGAAAGAAGAUUUCCCCUCCUGCUCUUACAGAUAGCCCCUUCCAGUUAGGGUUGAGAAGACCUGAUGGAGCCAGAGAGUAUGUAGGGGUAUGUCUGCAAAACAUCUGUUGCUUGCGCAGUGUUUUCUUUCACAGAAUGGGAGAAUCAUAGCGUGGCUGAUAUGGGAAGAGGCUUCUGGAGACUGCCUAGUCCAAACUCCCUGCUUGAGCAGGGUCAGCUAGAGGAGGUCACUCAAAGCUAUAUCCAAUCAGGUAUUUUUGAACUCCGAGGAGAAACAUCCAACAACUCCUCUGGGCAACCUGUGCCACUCUGAUCAUCUUCAUAUUGAAUUUUAUUUUUCUUAUGUUUAGAUAGAAUUUCUUGUGUUCAGUUUGUUUCCAUCGCCUCUUGUCCUAUCCCUGGGCACCACUGAUAUGAAUGUUGGUCCAUGAAAGUCCCAUGUUGCAUGUAAAUAUGUAGGCGACUAAAUUUGUACCCUUGUCUCCCCUCCAUCAUCUUUUCAUAAGAAGCUAAGAUGCAAGAAAAGAAAAAGAGAUUGCAUGUUCUUCACAUGAACAUUUUUGUAACUACCAAAUGAAGGGUUCCAUUGCUACUUGCUCCAUUAAAGCCACAAUACAACAAUAUUUGAAUUGACACUGCAAAACAGCAAAGCAGAAGUUCCUGCAGUCAAAAAUAAAAAGGGAUAUAAGUGUGGAGAUGCUUUAUGUCUGUAAGAAGAAGGAAUUACUGUGUAUACAUUAAGCAAAAUCCAUGUAUCUAUUAAGUAAGAGAUAAAAGGAUUGCAUCAGUGAUAAUGUUCCCUGAUAUAAUAACAGCAAAAAGGAGAAACUAUUCCAGAGAAGAAUCCAGUUCAAUAUUGAAAUAAUAUUUUCAAUUUAUAAAAUAUUCUGUCAGUAGUGAUUCUUUCUGUCAUUAGUUUUGUUACUACUGUUAUCUUCAAUGUCCCUAAUUCAGAUGUAAACAUAGUGAUAGCAUUUCCCAUGGCUGUAAGAACUGGCUUUGUGUGGAAAAGGAAAGAAUUAAAAGAAAAGUCAUUUGAAAGGAAAAAUCUUUUCUUCUUCCUUUUUCUUGUCCCUAAAAACAAAAGGAGUGGAGGUAUGACUAUCAAAAAAAGACCCAGCAAAACCAAACAACAACAACAAAAAUACCAAAAAAUCUUGGCAAAGAUGGAAUGUAACUUAUUGUGUGAAGCAACAGAAGGCAGUAAGCCAGGAAAAAAAGAGAUAAGAAUGUCUUUGAAAAUAUUAAAUUAUAGCAUGCCUUGAAUUAUCUCCUUUAAAUUCUUAAAAUGUUCGUAGUUAUUGUUUGAAUUACUGCAACGGAAAAAAUGCAUAUAAAGCAUAUAAUAAUAAAAGACUAUGUAUUUUUCUUUUACUCCACUGUAUUCUGUUCACUGUAGUAAAUUAUGUGUGUGCAUUGUCAUAUACAGGCAUGUAUGUCAUUAUACAUUUGCUAGGUCUUUAUAUUUUUGUAUAAUUAUUUCAUAUUUAAAAUUUUAAAACUAUACACUUUGCAAUCCAAUUUGCAGAAGUCCUACUAAGUCCGACAAAAAUGAACCUAGGAAAAGAACACAAACAAAGUUGUCUAAAACUAGCUGGGCAACUUACUUUCUGGAAAGAAUGUUUUGCAAAAGGGAAUUGAAAGAUUAAUUGCAAAGUUUUCUUCAAAACUUUAGAAGAUAUUCUGAUGUAAACCUUGAAAAUAAAAUGAAUGAAGAUGUAAUUGGUAUCUUACUUGUGUUCAACAGUAGUGUUUGAGCAGGUAUCAUAGUAUAAUAGAAUGGCCUGGGUAGAAAAGACCACAAUGAUCAUCAAGUUUCAACCCCCCUGCUAUGUGCAGGGUCACCAACCACUAGACCAGGCUGCCCAGAGCUACAUCCAGCCUGGCCUUGAAUGCAUCUAGGGAUGGGGCAUCCACAACCUCCUUGGGUAACCUGUUCCAGUGCAUCACCACUCUCUGUAUGAAAAACUUCCUCCUAAUAUCUAAUCUAAACCUCCACAUCCUAGUUUAAAACCAUGAGAAGAAGCAAUGGAGGCCAAUGUAGCAAAUCAGCUACAACUUCUGUAUACCUAUAAAGAUAAAUCCCAUUCUGUUCCUUAGGAGUCUAAUAGUGUACCAUCAUGUACCUGUGUGUAUUGUACAACAGUGACAUCAUUCGUACUGACUGGAAUAGGUAUCUAGAAGGAGG
ensembl:lncRNA